AUCGCUCCAUUCUCGCUGUCAAAACAGUAGGAUUUGAGGGUGAGCUGGGAAUGAGAAUGGCUUGGGGAAGCCCAGGACAACCUGCAGCACACGAGGGAGGGUCCAUCCCCGCAGCACUACCAGCUAAGAAAAGGAAAAGAAUGCAUUGAGGCAGGCGAGGCUCAGAGAGGCCUCGGGGAAGACAUUCUUCUGCACUUAUGCCUGUAGGAACAAGAUGCUGAUCCCGGAGAGCAAGCCUCCAGGUCUUAGAGUGCUGCCCAGUCUGCCUGGAAGCUAUGGUUUCUGAGAGGCAUCAGGUACAUUUAAAAAAAAAAAAUCACCCUAGGAAAGUCCCCAAAGCCUUUCAACGUGCUCUGCGCUCUGUCCCAGAUGCUCAGCCUCCCAAGAGAAAACGAAGUAGAAAACAAUCAAGGAAUAAAGUGACCUCCACACAGAAGAAAACAUUCUGAAGAACUGAGUUGACAUGACUCAUAAAGAGGUUGGUGCAUGCGCUCGGGCACAUACAUACACACACACAUGUGAUAAACACCAUGACCAAAGGCAACUUGGGAAGGAGAGAACUUAUUUCAGCUUACAGUUUAUAGUUUGUCGUGGAGGAAAGAAAGUCAGCAGAAGUUGAGGUGGUAACUGAAGCAGACCAUGGAGUCUUCCCACUGGCUUGCUCACCAUGGCUUGCCAUCAAGAUAUGUUCUGCCACCUGUAGAAAGGCAGAAUACAAGUCUGCCCAGUUUUGUACUUUGUCCUUGUAUCUAUAGACACCAGAACACAGGCUGUGGAGUAGGAAGAGCUUUGGGACCAUUAGGACAAAUACUGACUUUGCCACUAAAGGACCCAGGAAAGCAAGUUUUCGUCUGUGUUAAAGACUGGGGCUCAAGCCACCACUGUUCUCCUAUGUGUAUCUGAGUUGAUUCUUCAACAAGACUUUGAACAAAAGAAAAAAAAAAAGACUUUAAACAAAACAGUUGGAAAAACAUUACUUUCCAGAUGCGGCUGCAGGGAGCCUGUCUAUGAAGCACGAUGUUGAUCUGAGGUGGGGGAAGCCUGGGACUUGGGUUGCCAUCUUUGAACCCUUCAGUGAGCACUUUUGGCUUCCCUGGAGCCUGCAUUUGUCCAAGCACAGUAACUAGGUGAGGAUGGCAGCUCUCACACAGCAGGAGAAAGUGCCUGACUCUGUAACAAACACCUUGUUCCUCCAGCAGCACAUUUAGUCAUCUAGUGAUCUCACAACCCAUUCUACAGAUAAAGAAAUGGAUCCCAGCUGACAUUAACAAUUUGUCAAAGCUUCCAGAGCUGGUGAUGCACCCCAGUGACCCUCAUUCUGCUCGCGGCUGUGGUUGGUGAAGACUCACAGUGGUGAAGUCACAGCUGGUUGCUCAGGACACCUGGGGGUGUGGGAAAGGAACACUCGAUCAGAUGUGAGGCACCUGAUCCACAGGACGGAAAGGAAUAGCCCUGGUCUGUGGUGUUUGCACACAGCAAUUUCCCAACUGCAGUGCGCCGGUAAAGAAGUCAGCCAGAACUCUGCCCGCUUGAGUUGACUCUGUGGCAGGUCUAGGGAGAGCCUCCUCUUGCCACAGUCUGAGGCUGACACUGAAGGCUGCAAUAGGCCUGGAAAAGCUGAGCAGCAGAAGAAAGCAACAGAGCAUAGGUUUAUUCUCUCUUAGCUCUUGACCAUGGAUGUGAUAUGACUAACUGCUUAAGUUCCGGCCUUGACUUCUCCAAAACGAUGGACUGUAACCUAGAAUGAUCACAGAUUUAUCCCAAUGGAAGCUGGGGAAGGAGGCUGGAGG
rnacentral:lncRNA from 1 species